rnacentral:lncRNA from 1 species
AUGAUCAGAUCAAUAAAUCAAUCUACUCUAGAAUCUAUGAUAUGAUAUGAUGCAUAUAAAAUUUAAAAUAUAGAAGAUAAAAUCUGCAUGCAUACACGUGAGCAAUAGAUCAAAUCGACUUCUAAUAUGAAUUCAGAACUCGAUAUCUGAGUAUGGAUUGACGAUCGCCACUACUGAAAGAUAUGAUAAAGAGGAUCCUCGCUGAUUGCUUACAGCCGC